UACGAGGGGGGCAAGUGUUGUUCGGAAUCACUGGGCGUAAAGGGCGCGUAGGCGGAUGUUUAAGUCGGGAGUUUAAAACCGGGGCCCAACCCCGGAGCGGCUCCCGAAACUGAGCAUCUUGAAUAGGUCAGAGGCUGGUGGAAUUGGAGGUGUAGCGGUGGAAUGCGUAGAGAUCUCCAAGAACACCUAUUGCGAAGGCAGCCAGCUGGGACCAUAUUGACGCUGAGGCUCGAAAGCAUGGGGAGCAAACAGG
rnacentral:rRNA from 1 species